rnacentral:rRNA from 1 species
GUGCUCCCCCGCCAAUUCCUCAGGGGAAUGCUGCUUCGUCCCAGACAGCCGCACCGCCCACAAUCACCCUGCAGGACGCACUACGACUGGCGAAGAACAACAAUCCCCAGUUACAAGCGGCAAUAACCGAGGCCGGAGUUGCGCACCAGGACAAAGUGCAGGCGCGAGCCGCGCUCAUGCCAAGCGUGAACUACAACACGCAAUACCUUUACACCCAAGGCAACGGCACGCCCGCGGGACGCUAUGUCGCUAACAACGGGGUGCACGAAUACUUGGCGCAGGGGAAUGCCCAUGAGGCGGUGUCGGCGGCGAAUUUUGCUGAUUUUCGCCGCACCCGGGCGGCGGAGGCGGUUGCCAAAGCGCGGGCAGAGGUUGCAGCGCGAGGCUUGGUCGUCACUGUGGUUCAGAGUUACUACACGUUAGUUGUGUCGCAACGGAAAUACGCCACUGCACAGCGGGCUGCGAAUGAAGGAGAGCGUUUCUUCAAAAUUACGCAGCAACUGGAGCAAGGCGGCGAAGUGGCGCAUUCGGACGUGGUGAAGGCAGAGAUCCAGUACCAGCAGGUGAAACGGGAUCUUCAGGAAUCUCAACUCGGAAUGCAAAGGGCCCGGCAGGAUCAACCGGAG